GCCUAGUGAUGCCUUCAAUGACGUCCACGUCGCAGAAUCCAGUUGUAUAAAAGCCGUGAGAUUUCAUCGAAAGCUGUUAUUCUGGGGCAGGGAUAUUGUUAAUUUAUCAUUAUCAUGACGAAUAUCAAGACUCUUUGUGCCAUCAUUUUUGCUGCUUCUGUGGUCAUCGUCUACCAAACCGAUUUGUCAAGUGCGGCAUGUGAUACCAGCAUGCUCUGCAACCCCAAUACAACGGACCAAUGUGGGCCACACUGCCAAUGUGCCCUGGUCGUCGAAAGUAGCGCCACCAACAUCAUUCAAUAUCGGUGCUCAGAUAUAACCCAUCGAACCAAAUAAUAUUAUUAUACUCGUGAAACAACGUGGUCCAUCAUUCAAGUAUGAUGUGUCAGCGUCUUUCCUUGAACUCCGGCUCGCUGUUGAAUUUUUCACAGAAAUAUCAAUAAACA